rnacentral:rRNA from 1 species
CCUACGGGUGGCAGCAGUGGGGAAUAUUGCACAAUGGGGGAAACCCUGAUGCAGCGACGCCGCGUGGGUGAUGAAGUAUUUCGGUAUGUAAAGCUCUAUCAGCAGGGAAGAAAAUGACGGUACCUGAUUAAUAAGCCCCGGCUAACUACGUGCCAGCAGCCGCGGUAAUACGUAGGGGGCAAGCGUUAUCCGGAUUUACUGGGCGUAAAGGGAGCGUAGACGGCAGCACAAGUCAGGUGUGAAAUGCUGUGGCUUAACCCCGGAACUGCUUUGGAAACUGUGCAGCUAGAGUGUAGGAGAGGUAGGUGGAAUUCUUAGUGUAGCGGUGAAAUGCGUGGAGAUUAGGAGGAACACUAGUUGCGAAGGCGGCUUACUGGACUGUAACUGACGUUGAUGCGCGAAAGCGUGGGGAGCAAACAGGAUUAGAUACCCCAGUAGUC